rnacentral:tRNA from 1 species
GCCUUCGUGGUGUAGUGGUCAGCACGCUCGACGCAUAACCGAGAGGUCCGUGGUUCAAUUCCCGGCGAAGGCG